UGAGGACUACAAAUUAGCAAACAAAGAGACCCAAGUCCUUUUAAUGACACUGGGAGGCAGUACAGCCUGCAGGGUGCACAGUGGCCCAGGAAGCUGGGCCUUAGAGGUGGGUGAGAUGGCCCUUUCACUCCUGCCUGGGGAGCCAGUCUCCUGGCUGAAACCAACUGCCCCAGCCACACAGCACAUGGAGGGCUAAUCUGAGCACUGGGGUGGCUCUACUGUAGUUUAAACUCUACAACACGGUGGUCUGACGCUCUGGUCUUCAUUUCUGGAACUGCUCUGUUUUAGAACAAUACACAGAAUACCCUCUAGGGAAAACAACUGGUUAUCACCAAGUGUUACUUCCCCAAAAGGGCCUUUCUUAACCACCAACCCAGAGAGGACUCUCAAAUCACUCCCCCUUUCAUUUUUAUUAUAGCACUUAUGGUUCCCUGUUUGUUUUUAAUUGACUGCUUUUCCAGCUAUGUAAAAGCAAUAAAGAGCAAGAACCUCCGAGCCUCAUUUGAUGCUGAAUUUCCAGGUCUCACGGAGCUAGCUGGCAUUUAUAAAGUGCUCAAUAAAUGCUGAGUAAUGACUAAACAACUACUACACAUAUAGAAGUUUCUGAAUUUUUAAAACAAAGAAAGGGGUGGGGAAACAGUAGGGAGAGUUUCACUCCUAAUUUGCUGAAAUCUUUAUGAAUGCAAAUCUGAGCUCCUCUCCGCUUAGUAAUUCUUAUCAAAUGACUGCCAGUGUGGCUCUCUAAAAUAGGAUAGUGUGGAGGACAGAACUUCAAAGGCUGCAUGACUGAUCCAGCAACGAGACGAGAGAGGAACACUGGAGACUCUGAUUAAGUGCAGCCCAGCCGACUGGAGUCUCACUGGCCGCUGCAAAUCCCUCUGGAGGCAACACAGAGGAUGAACUGGCAGAAAGGAAGCCUGGAGGCAGGAAAAUUAUCCAAAGGCAGGAAAAUAAUCCAGAUGGAAAGUCUGAGCACCUGCGCUGGGGCUGUGAGACUGCUGCAUGAGAGCAAAGACUCGAGACAGACCCAAACUACAGAGCUGAUGGGACUGGGAUGCAAAUUCCUUGAGAGUAGAGAGCUUCAAAGGGAGCGCCUCGGAGAAGAACUGUCACUGUGUGGACACACUGAAUUCAAGGCCAGCAAAGACCGAGGCAAUUUACAAAGCUAGGUUCCCACCAAGGCUGGUGGUCAUGUCAAAAAUGAAAUGAAGUAAAAUAAAUAUUACCUAUAAAGAUAA